GUGGGGAAUCUUGCGCAAUGGGCGAAAGCCUGACGCAGCGACGCCGCGUGAGUGAUGAAGGCCUUCGGGUUGUAAAGCUCUGUGGGGAGAGACGAAUAAGUGCAGUCUAAUACAUUGCAUGAUGACGGUAUCUCCUUAGCAAGCACCGGCUAACUCUGUGCCAGCAGCCGCGGUAAGACAGAGGGUGCAAACGUUGUUCGGAAUUACUGGGCGUAAAGCGUGUGUAGGCGGUCUGCUAAGUCGGGUGUGAAAGCCCUGGGCUCAACCCAGGAAGUGCACUCGAAACUGGCAGGCUAGAGUACUGGAGAGGUUGGUGGAAUUCUCGGUGUAGAGGUGAAAUUCGUAGAUAUCGAGAGGAACACCGGUGGCGAAGGCGGCCAACUGGACAGAUACUGACGCUGAGACACGAAAGCGUGGGGAGCAAACAGGAUUAGAUACCCCAGUAGUCC
rnacentral:rRNA from 1 species